AUUGAACGCUGGCGGCAUGCUUUACACAUGCAAGUCGAACGGCAGCGCGGGCUUCGGCCUGGCGGCGAGUGGCGAACGGGUGAGUAAUACAUCGGAACGUGCCCAGUAGUGGGGGAUAGCUCGGCGAAAGCCGGAUUAAUACCGCAUACGACCUGAGGGUGAAAGCGGGGGAUCUUCGGACCUCGCGCUAUUGGAGCGGCCGAUGGCAGAUUAGCUAGUUGGUGGGGUAAAGGCCUACCAAGGCGACGAUCUGUAGCUGGUCUGAGAGGACGACCAGCCACACUGGAACUGAGACACGGCCCAGACUCCUACGGGAGGCAGCAGUGGGGAAUUUUGGACAAUGGGCGAAAGCCUGAUCCAGCAAUGCCGCGUGUGUGAUGAAGGCCUUCGGGUUGUAAAGCACUUUUGGCGGGAACGAAAAGGACUGUGCUAAUACCACGGUUCGCUGACGGUACCCGCAGAAUAAGCACCGGCUAACUACGUG
rnacentral:rRNA from 1 species